rfam:Myotis lucifugus cont2.61427, whole genome shotgun sequence.
GGCAGUGCUUGGGUGACACACCCUGGAAUCGGGCUCCCUCUUCUCUGGUUCCAGGUAUGUCACCCAAGAACUACA